GAAUUGUGUUCAUAGUGGUUAGAACAUCCGCCUCGUAUGCGGAAGAUCAUGGGUUUGAUUACCGGUUGAGUCA